rnacentral:rRNA from 1 species
AUGAUUCAUCUUGAUGGCAUCAACAUCCCCGAUGGAAAGUUCUACCUAAGAGAUGCUGGUUAUGCAUGUCGGCAAGGUAUUCUUCCACCCUUCAAGACCAGGUACCAUCUGAACGAGUUCGCUGGUAGGAACUAUCCUAGGACUCCACAAGAGCUGUUUAAUCUCAGACACUCCAGCCUUAGAGUUACUGUUAAGAGGGCCUUUGGAGCUCUGGAGAACAGGUUUAAGCUAGAUCAGAAUCCAUUCCCCACUUUUCCCACUUAGGUUAAGCUUGUUCUUGUUGGUUGCAUUCUGCAUAACUGGAUCCUGCAAUGGGAUUGUGAUGAACUUGUGCCUGAGGAGGAAGAUGUGACUCCUGAUGAUGUUGUGAGCUUAGGCCAUGGUGUGGAGGCAUUUGACAAUGAAGCCUGGAAGAACAAAAAGCUGAAGUGGGCAUAA